UACCAGACUCCUACGGGAGGCAGCAGUGGGGAAUAUUGCACAAUGGGGGAAACCCUGAUGCAGCAACGCCGCGUGAAGGAAGACGGUUUUCGGAUUGUAAACUUCUGUUCUUAGUGAAGAAGAAUGACGGUAGCUAAGGAGCAAGCCACGGCUAACUACGUGCCAGCAGCCGCGGUAAUACGUAUGGGGCAAGCGUUAUCCGGAUUUACUGGGUGUAAAGGGAGUGCAGGCGGCUUGGCAAGUCUGAUGUGAAAGGCUGGGGCUCAACCCCAGGACUGCAUUGGAAACUGUUAGGCUGGAGUGUCGGAGAGGUAGGCGGAAUUCCUAGUGUAGCGGUGAAAUGCGUAGAUAUUAGGAGGAACACCAGUGGCGAAGGCGGCUUACUGGACGACAACUGACGCUGAGGCUCGAAAGCGUGGGGAGCAAACAGGAUUAGAUACCCUGGUA
rnacentral:rRNA from 1 species